GAUUUCUGGCUUGAUAUAUUUUGCCGGCCACGGUUUCGUGUGUUAGUGCUUGAUAUUCUGGCCAUCCUUCCAAUGGCUAUUCAUCCUUCUUCAUUGAAGGUGUGAGUGGUAUUGGAUCUUUUACUUUGAAAAAAUUAGAGUGUUUCAAGCAGGCUUUAUGCUAUGAAUACAUUAGCAUGGAAUAAUAAUUUAGGACUUCGGUUCUAUUUUGUUGGUUUCUAGGACUGAAGUAAUGAUUGAUAGGGAUAGUUGGGGGUGCUAGUAUUCAGCGGCCAGAGGUGAAAUUCUUGGAUUCGCUGAAGACUAACUUAUGCGAAAGCAUU
rnacentral:rRNA from 2 species